rnacentral:rRNA from 1 species
CCUACGGGAGGCAGCAGUGAGGAAUAUUGGUCAAUGGGCGAGAGCCUGAACCAGCCAAGUAGCGUGCAGGAUGACUGCCCUAUGGGUUGUAAACUGCUUUUAUGCGGGAAUAAAGUGCACCACGUGUGGUGUUUUGUAUGUACCGCAUGAAUAAGGACCGGCUAAUUCCGUGCCAGCAGCCGCGGUAAU